rnacentral:rRNA from 1 species
UACGAAGGGAGCUAGCGUUGUUCGGAAUCACUGGGCGUAAAGCGCACGUAGGCGGAUGUGUCAGUCAGGGGUGAAAUCCCGGGGCUCAACCUCGGAACUGCCUUUGAUACAGCACGUCUUGAGUCCGAUAGAGGUGGGUGGAAUUCCUAGUGUAGAGGUGAAAUUCGUAGAUAUUCGCAAGAACACCAGUGGCGAAGGCGGCUCACUGGCCCGGUACUGACGCUGAGGUGCGAAAGCGUGGGGUGCAAACAGG